rnacentral:rRNA from 1 species
GACGAACGCUGGCGGCGUGCUUAACACAUGCAAGUCGAACGGAAAGGCCCUGCUUUUGUGGGGUGCUCGAGUGGCGAACGGGUGAGUAACACGUGAGUAACCUGCCCUUGACUUUGGGAUAACUUCAGGAAACUGGGGCUAAUACCGGAUAUGAGCUCCUGCUGCAUGGUGGGGGUUGGAAAGUUUCGGCGGUUGGGGAUGGACUCGCGGCUUAUCAGCUUGUUGGUGGGGUAGUGGCUUACCAAGGCUUUGACGGGUAGCCGGCCUGAGAGGGUGACCGGCCACAUUGGGACUGAGAUACGGCCCAGACUCAUACGGGAGGCAGGAGUGGGGAAUAGUGCACAAUGGGCGGAAGCCUGAUGCAGCAACGCCGCGUGCGGGAUGACGGCCUUCGGGUUGUAAACCGCUUUCGCCUGUGACGAAGCGUGAGUGACGGUAAUGGGUAAAGAAGCACCGGCUAACUACGU